ACUCUCCAGUCAAGCACCAGAUGCAUUUGUGUGAGUGAAGAUGACCUCCCUGUGAACUCAACAAAUGUAUCAAAAAAUGGCAUUGCUCACUGGGAAUGCGGAUCCUGAGUUCAGCUCUUACUCCUUCAAUAACUUGGAAAACCUGUGUGAAGUGCAAACAAAGAAAGGUUUCUUCUACAAAAAGGCCAAACUUCUGCACCCUGGAGAAGACUUGUGCUGCUUAGCCCGCCUGGAAGACCGGACCAGGUUUGUGAUCAUCAACGUAGGUGGUAUUAAAUACAAAAUUCCAUGGACCACCUUGGAGAACUGCCCCUUGACCAGGCUUGGGAAGCUAAAAUCUUGCAACAAUUAUGAUGAGAUCAUGAACAUCUGCGAUGAUUAUGAUGUUAGCUGCAAUGAAUUUUUUUUUGACCGUAAUCCUAGUGCCUUCAGGACAAUCAUGACUUUCCUGACAGCUGGGAAGCUGAGGCUUCUCAGGGAGAUGUGUGCUCUUUCUUUUCAGGAGGAGCUUGUGUACUGGGGGAUAGAAGAGGAGCACCUGGAGUGGUGCUGUAAAAAGAGAUUGCGACAGAAAGAGGAGGAGGCAGCUGAGGCCAGGCUGUUUGAAGGGGAGAUGGUGUUUAGUGAAACUACGCAAAGUGCCUUCCAGGACAAUAGCCGAUUGAGUUUGUGCAUGAGAAAGCUCAGGGAUAUGGUGGAGAACCCCCACUCAGGGAUCCCAGGAAAGAUCUUUGCUUGUAUUUCAGUCUCUUUUGUUGCCAUCACUGCAGUCAGCCUCUGUAUCAGCACCAUGCCAGAUGUCAGAGAAGAAGAAGAUCGGGGUGAAUGCUCACGGAAAUGCUAUGACAUCUUUGUGCUGGAGACAGUGUGCGUGGCGUGGUUUUCGUUUGAGUUCCUCCUGCGCUCCAUCCAGGCAGAGAACAAGUGUGCUUUCCUGAAAACCCCGCUCAACAUCAUCGACAUCCUGGCCAUCUUGCCUUUCUAUAUCUCUCUCAUUGUGGAUAUGGUCUCCACCAAAAACAGCAGCAAGCCGAGUGGGGGAGCUGGCAACAAGUACUUGGAGCGAGUGGGCCUGGUGCUGCGCUUCCUGCGGGCUCUGCGCAUCCUGUAUGUGAUGAGGCUGGCACGGCACUCGCUGGGGCUGCAGACUCUUGGGCUCACCGUGCGCCGGUGCACCAGGGAGUUUGGGCUCCUCCUGCUUUUUCUCUGCGUGGCCAUGGCCCUCUUCUCUCCUCUGGUGUUCUUGGCUGAGAGCGAACUGGGAGCCAAGCAAGAAUUCACAAGUGUCCCCACCAGUUACUGGUGGGCUGUGAUCUCCAUGACAACUGUUGGCUAUGGGGACAUGGUGCCGCGUAGCAUCCCGGGACAGGUGGUAGCCCUGAGUAGUAUCUUGAGCGGUAUUUUGCUGAUGGCUUUCCCAGUCACUUCCAUCUUUCAUACCUUUUCCCGUUCCUACAGUGAGCUAAAGGAGCAGCAGCAACGAGCAGCCAGCAGGCAGAUGCGCCAGUUGGAAGAGAGUACCAAACUCCCCGAUGGUGACAGCUCGCAAGGACUCAGUGUCUCAACCCCUCCAGAUGUUGCUGUGGAGGAGGUUCGGCCAGCAGUGAACCAAGAGAAGCCAAGAGAAGCCAAGAGAAGUUGCUGACGCUGAACAGCUGAAGACUUGAGAUGGCAGCACAAGAAGCAGCGGACAAGAGGGGUUUUCAGUUCUGCAAGAAGAGCCUCCUGAACUGCCUAAGUUAGGGGCAGACACAAGAGGUUGCCCUUAAUGAGCAUAAGGGCCCACCGAAAAGUGUCCCUAGAAACUCCACCACGUACAGCUCUGCUCCAUCGCUAUUUGUAGGGCAUUUCUUUUCUACUGAGCAAGUAUUUUUGGCAACCUGCAAGGAGCCGCUGUUGAAAGCAUCCAGCCAGGAGAACACAGCUUGAAGCACAGCACAGUCGAGCCGGUGCCGUUUGGUGGAGCAGUGAGUGUGCCACCUCCUCACACCGCUUGGUGCCACUCAGUGUCCAGUGUGCCACAGGAGGGGUGCCCAGCUCACGGACCCCCAGCACCGGGAAUUUGUCUUGGCAGCUCCACCAAGGAACACAAACCUCAGACAAGUUGAGGGGCACCGUGGAAGGGAAGAGGGGGCAACAGAAGGGCAGAAAUGUCCCUCUUCCUUUAUUUUGCACUAGGGGCUUGGUUGUGUCUUUUUUAUAAAUCAGGCGCCACAGUCUGGGCAGUUCUGACUUGUGCUCUAGCUCAGUAUGUAUUAUUUAGCAAAUACGCAUAUUUACCACAGUAAGCUUUGUAACUUAGCCCCAUGACAGAAAUAUACAUAGACAAUCUUCCUAACUAUGGUACUGAAUGUUAACUUGUUUUAUUUUUUUUCUUUGUUCACAGUUGAAUAUAACAAGUAUCUUUACAAAUCACAACAUUUCUCCACUUCCUUUUCAUUCUUUCCAUCUCUCACGUCUUAAAAAAAAAAAGUGUUUAACAGAUGCCUAAACCUCAAAUAGGCACAGCCCAAGAGGGGGAGGGUGGUGUUCGGACAGCAGCGACUCUCAGCUCUGCAUACUCUUCCUCAGCAGUGGUGGUUGCAGUGGCUGCAGUCCCAUGCAAACGGGAACAGCCCAAACCCCUUGAAUCAGUCCAUGAAAAGCCUCCAGUGGGCUCUGGCCCAAGCUGCGGAAUAGCAGCUGUGCCCUACGUUAGGGAAUAAUCUUGGGGUUUUUUUCCUACUUAAAAAAAGAAAAAUCCCAUCAUCUAAAGAUUAAAAUUAUUGUUCUGGCUCUUCCUCCUAGUUCUCAUACCAAAACAUUUAAGUCAGUUUAAAGGGAAAACAAAUCAUGUGGUAGAAGUGGAUGUUUGGUUUUUUUACUGAUGCAAAUCCUGUGAGCUCUCCAGCCCUCUGCCUUGUGUUGUUCCUCCUUGGAAGAAAGAGCGGUGCAGCUGGCUUAAGCCAGCGUGCUGUGUUUAAGUAUUCCUAGACGUGGGAUACGAUUCAGGGAGAGAAGGAAACGGCGCACACCCACCUCGUUUCCCUACGCUUCUGUUUGCAUUGGACGAGCUGCAGGACCAACCAUGCAGCGCGGCUCUUGGCGCUCGCCUCCUGUCAGCAACGGAACAAAAGCUGCUGCACCGAAGUGUGAGCAGCACAAGCAUAAAAGGGUUAAGAAACCUGGAGGAUAAGGUCACCCCAGAAAGCAUAGAAGAGAUGGGGAUAGAAACCAGAAAUCCAAACCCUGUCUUGCAUCAUGACCUCAGGACAACUUGC